GAUGAACGCUGGCUACAGGCUUAACACAUGCAAGUCGAGGGGAAACGGCGUUGAGUGCUUGCACUGAAUGGACGUCGACCGGCGCACGGGUGAGUAACGCGUAUCCAACCUUCCCGUUACUGCGGGAUAACCUGCCGAAAGGCAGACUAAUACCGCAUGUUCUUCGAUGACGGCAUCAGAUUCGAAGCAAAGACUCGUCGGUAACGGAGGGGGAUGCGUCUGAUUAGCUUGUUGGCGGGGCGACGGCCCACCAAGGCGACGAUCAGUAGGGGUUCUGAGAGGAAGGUCCCCCACAUUGGAACUGAGACACGGUCCAAACUCCUACGGGAGGCAGCAGUGAGGAAUAUUGGUCAAUGGGCGAGAGCCUGAACCAGCCAAGUAGCGUGCAGGAUGACGGCCCUAUGGGUUGUAAACUGCUUUUAUGCGGGGAUAAAGUGAGGGACGUGUCCUUCAUUGCAGGUACCGCAUGAAUAAGGACCGGCUAAUUCCGUGCCAGCAGCCGCGGUAAUACGGAAGGUCCGGGCGUUAUCCGGAUUUAUUGGGUUUAAAGGGAGCGUAGGCCGUGGAUUAAGCGUGUUGUGAAAUGCAGGUGCUCAACGUCUGCACUGCAGCGCGAACUGGUUCACUUGAGUGUGCGCAACGCAUGCGGAAUUCGUCGUGUAGCGGUGAAAUGCUUAGAUAUGACGAAGAACUCCGAUUGCGAAGGCAGCUUGCGGGAGCACAACUGACGCUGAAGCUCGAAAGUGCGGGUAUCGAACAGG
rnacentral:rRNA from 1 species